UGCCAGACUCCUACGGGAGGCAGCAGUAGGGAAUCUUUCACAAUGGGCGAAAGCCUGAUGGAGCAACGCCGCGUGCAGGAUGAAGGCCUUCGGGUUGUAAACUGCUUUUAUAAGCGAGAAAUAUGAUGGUAACUUAUGAAUAAGCAUCGGCUAACUCCGUGCCAGCAGCCGCGGUAAUACGGAGGAUGCGAGCGUUAUCCGGAUUUAUUGGGUUUAAAGGGUGCGUAGGCGGUCCGUUAAGUCAGCGGUAAAAUUGCGGGGCUCAACCCCGUCGAGCCGUUGAAACUGGCAGACUUGAGUUGGCGAGAAGUACGCGGAAUGCGCGGUGUAGCGGUGAAAUGCAUAGAUAUCGCGCAGAACUCCGAUUGCGAAGGCAGCGUACCGGCGCCAGACUGACGCUGAGGCACGAAAGCGUGGGGAUCGAACAGGAUUAGAUACCCGAGUAUGU
rnacentral:rRNA from 1 species